AAGACAACGACACUGCUCUUGCUCUUGUUCGCUCUCCUCCUCACGACAUCUUUAUCCAAAGACCUCUGUCACAAAGAUGACCUCUCCGGUUCGAUACCCGGUUCACUCUCUUUAUUACCUAAACUCGAGAUUCUUGACCUCAGCAGGAACAAGCUUACAGGUGAAUUACUACUCUCUCUGUCUCUAUAAGUCAUCAAUUAACCUGAGUAACAAACCAUAAAUUUUCUAACGUCAAGUUUAAACUUCCAACUAUAGGUUCGAUACCAGAGUCAUUUGGAUCCUUUAAAGGAGUGAUGUAUGCUCUUUUCCUAUCUCACAACCAGCUGUCCGGUUCUAUUCCGAAAUCAUUAGAAAACCUGGACAUUAACCAGAUUGAUCUUUCCCGGAACAAGCUUGAAGGUGACGCGUCGAUGUUGUUUGGAGCCCAAAAGACUACACAUAACAUUGACCUAUCAAGAAACAUGUUCCAGUUCAAUAUCUCCAUGGUUAAAGUCUCUAAAACAGUUAAUUUCUUGCACUUGAAUCACAACGGGCUCACAGGGACUAUCCCGAUUCAAUGGACCCAACUUGAUCUUCAGAUUUUCAAUGUUAGCUAUAACAGACUGUGUGGACGCAUCCCCCAGGGAGGGGAACUUCAGAGAUUUGAUGCUUAUGCCUAUUUACACAACAAGUGUUUGUGUGGUGCACCUCUUCAGAGUUGCAAGUGAGGUUACCGAGUAAACUUACCACAAGUAUCAAUCAAGUCUAAGGACAACUGUAUUUUCCAUUGGCAGUGAAUAAUAAAACACAUGAAGCACAUUUGAUGAAUUCAUUACAUUUUCAAAACGUAUGUGAUUUAUUGGCUAGCAACGUUCGAGUAUGUUAGAAAGUCCAUAACAUUUUAAGAAAUAUUGAUACAAAUAUAUUCUUAUACAAUUUUAAAAGUAUAAAACAUAUAUAACUUUUUAUUUAUUGGAACCAAAGCUAAUGUUUCAUUAGGCUCAUCGACUCUAGUAUGUCACCACGUCAACAUAGCAAAACCAUUAAUUGGUGAAAAGUUGUUUCCAAUAUAAAAGAUAGCUAGUGACCAUGAACAAGACCCACUAACUCUUCAGAAAAUGCUCGAGGUAUCCACCGUUUGAAGAAUAACAUAGGGUAUGAUUGGUAACGUGGACAGCGGCAACUGGAGUAAAUUAAAGUAAAAAUUAAGUGGAAAGAUAUAUAUUGUUAUUUGUUUCAGCCGGUUUACUCUUGCUUUUGUAGGGUAGAAAAAAAAUGGAAACAGCAAAUAAAAGAUUCAUUUUCUACCGUAAAGGAGUGAAAAAGUAUUUUCACCUAUUUUAUCACGAUGGAUGAUUGGAUGUAAUUGAAUGAAACUGAGAGUAAAAUAUUUUACUCUUAAUUUUUUUAACGCUAAUGAUGUCAUCCAGUUACACUCAUAGUAAAAUAAUCCAAAACUAUCAUAUUUUCAUACUAUUUUUAGAUUUUAACUAAAAAAAAUUAAGAGAUGUCUCUUAAAUAAUAGAUAUAAAAGAAAUUUCUUAACGAUGAACUGUUGGUGAAUAGAGGUCAGAGCACUCAUAACAAAAAAAAACGCUCUCUAGGAAAGGACGAUAGCAAAGGUGAUUAGGGUUUCACCACCCUUUCGCCGCCUUGGUUUCGCCUCACGCGUAUCAACGAGAAACUUCUUCGUCUUCACUCUCCUCCUCUCCGUCCAUGGCGUCGCUGGUAGCAGGUCUAGCUUCCUUUCCACGCCCUCCCUCAGAUCCGCCAGAUUUGUGUUUUAAGUUUGCUCUCCGGUCAAAUCCUCCAGAUCCUCCGGUUCCUCCUGACCCUCCGCCUGAUAUUCUAUCAGUCAUGGGGUUUCUUCAGUUGUACAAUCUCUGGGCCACCGUUGGCUUUCCCCAUAAGUUCUCAGAUCCAAAGUUAUGCUUGACGAUUUCAGAUGGUGGGCUAGCCUCAGAUAAAGAUUUGUUCUUCCCGGAUGGAACAGUCUUUGUACUUACUCCCCUAUACCAAGUAAGCUCAGACUCUUUACCCUACGCUUCCGAGUGUGGUUGGAUUAUCAGUGUGUGGGUAGAGCUGGUCUUAUUGGAUCUGAGAUUUUCCGUUCUAGUUCCGACUGUUUCGGUUGCAUUUGGUUAUGCUAUUGUGGCCUUUGUUGGUACCUUUGUGGUCUGUGUAUGGUCCAUUACUGCAGUAUGCAGAUGUUGUCCCUUUACUGCAGUAUGCAGGUUUACUUCCACCUUUGCUCUAAUGGCUUUUGAAAUGACAUGGCAUUCUCUCCUCAUGUGGCAAUUUGGAGUGAAAGUUCUGAAGUUGUGUAUCCUUUCAGCAAAUCUGGUUUGUUUAGGCUCUCUUUGUCCUCCCUAUUCCUUUAAGGAGUGUUUCAUCCUCCCACAUCGAUCACUUGUUAUAAGUGAAAUUGUUAUAGGGAGCAUUGUGUUGAAGAUGGUUCUGUUUGUAGCAGAAGCGAAGAUGUCUAUCGUCUCUCGUUUUGAUGGUGUUAACUGUCUGACCUCAUUGACCAUGGAGGCUUUUAUCCCUCCCCUUUAUUGUUUCGAUCAGGAAUGUCAAUUUGAAGAAGUCUUCUGGUCUGACUUGCCUUUCUCGGAGAAAACGGUGGUUGAACGUGUGAUAUCACCUUUAUCAAGUCUUUGCUUGAGUACUUGUUGUUUAAGCUUUACCAUUUGCCUGUCCAGUAUAUUGGUCUGUGCUUUAGUUUCUUUGGCUCUUUGUAGCCUUGUUGUAUCCUCCACUAGUGGAGUUAAACUCUUUUAAGUUUUAAUGGAAGUAAGUUUGAUCAAAAAAAAAAAAAAAAAUUUCUUAACUAAUUUCUUAACUUUUUUUAGUUAAAAGCUAAAAUACUAUAUUUUAUAUUAUGAUAAGAAUUUUAACCUAAGAAACAUACAAUAAACAUGCUCUAAUAGUAACAACUAACUCUUAAGUUCGGACAUUGUUUUCAAACUUCCGGUUUAGUAAUCCAGUCAAUUGAACCUGACCGGAAAUUGGUCCAUGGGUUCACGCACCACCUGUUUAACCCAUCAAAAUACUUUAUUUUAAAGACCAACAACCGAACUUAUUUAACACGUGGUCUAGUCAGCAAUAUUAAUAACAACAAAAACAGUACCCUACCAUGUUUCUAAUUGGUUGCGUAUAUAUCAUCACGGGUUUCCACUUAAGCUCAAACACAAACACAACACACUAUGGAGGGUAAGACAACGACACUGCUCUUGCUCUUGUUCACUCUCCUCCUCACGACAUCUUUAUCCAAAGAUCUCUGUCACAAAGAUGACAAAAACACCCUCCUCAAGAUCAAGAAAGCCAUGAACGACCCUUACACCAUCAUCUCCUGGGACCCCAAGGACGAUUGCUGCACCUGGUACGCCGUUGAGUGCGGCAACGCAUCUAUUAACCACCGCGUCACUUCUCUAGACAUAUCAAACGACGACGUCUCCGCUCAGAUCCCAC
rnacentral:lncRNA from 1 species